rnacentral:tRNA from 1 species
GGAGAGGUGCCCGAGUGGAUGAAGGGGUACGCCUGGAGAGCGUAUGUAGGGGUGACUCUACCAUGGGUUCGAAUCCCAUCCU